rnacentral:rRNA from 1 species
GCCAGACUCCUACGGGAGGCAGCAGUGGGGAAUAUUGGGCAAUGGACGCAAGUCUGACCCAGCAACGCCGCGUGAAGGAAGAAGGCUUUCGGGUUGUAAACUUCUUUUAAGGGGGAAGAGCAGAAGACGGUACCCCUUGAAUAAGCCACGACUAACUACGUGCCAGCAGCCGCGGUAAUACGUAGGUGGCAAGCGUUGUCCGGAUUUACUGGGUGUAAAGGGCGUGUAGCCGGGUUGACAAGUCAGAUGUGAAAUCCUGCGGCUUAACCGCAGAACUGCAUUUGAAACUGUUGAUCUUGAGUACUGGAGAGGCAGGCGGAAUUCCUAGUGUAGCGGUGAAAUGCGUAGAUAUUAGGAGGAACACCAGUGGCGAAGGCGGUCUGCCGGACAGCAACUGACGGUGAGGCGCGAAAGCGUGGGGAG